rnacentral:rRNA from 1 species
UACGUAGGGUGCAAGCGUUGUCCGGAAUUAUUGGGCGUAAAGAGCUCGUAGGCGGUCUGUCGCGUCUGCUGUGAAAACUCGGGGCUUAACCCCGGGCCUGCAGUGGGUACGGGCAGGCUAGAGUUCGGCAGGGGAGACUGGAAUUCCUGGUGUAGCGGUGAAAUGCGCAGAUAUCAGGAGGAACACCGGUGGCGAAGGCGGGUCUCUGGACCGAUACUGACGCUGAGGAGCGAAAGCGUGGGGAGCGAACAGG